AUGUAGAUGUAGGAAAUCGCAAGGACAAUUGAUUUUUAAUUUCUCAGCAUGUAGAUAUUGAAGAUCAGGUUUCACUUUCUGGAUUUUCAGUUUGUUUGGUCAUAUGUUUAUGUGUGAAUAUGACAUUGUUGUAGGAAUGGUGAAAAGUAAUUUAUGUAAGGUUAGAAAAUAACUUCUAGAACCCCAAAACCAAAGUGAAAUAAAUUACAUAUUGAUGUAGAAAUAAUGGAAAAAUAAAUGAAGGCAAUGAUAUAAGAAAUUUAUGAGAUUUCCUAAUGUUUGACAGGAGUUUGCUUGAAAAUUUGGUCACCUUUUCCCCUUUGAUGGAAUAAGCUGGAGCAGGAGGAAGGAAAUACGAAGGUGUAGAGAUGAAAGCAUAUUGGGAUGAUAUAAUAAGGGGUUAUCAUUUAAAAAAGGAACCUUCUCUAAGCAAGGGCUCAGGGUUUGGAAUCGUGCAGUAUUCCAUGUUCAAGAAUUUGUGUAUAGGUGAAUUUCUUAUGUAGCAUGGGUUCCGUUGCAUAUCAAGGCUUCAACAAGGCUCAAAAUCAAAUCACCUAAAUUAUGAUUUGCUACUUCCUUGCUAAUUGUUGGAAUGAUAGAUAUCCUUCCUAUAUUGCUGACAUUUAGUCUUUGAAGGUAAGAAGCUUUUAAUCAUGAGCGGACAUAAUGGUCCCUGGAACAUUAAGUCGACAUAUGUUCUAUUUAAUGUUGAUCGGUAAAAUAUGAGACAAAUCCAUAGCUAUUUGAGAAGUUGUCAUGGCCUGAUUUGAGAUCCCUAUAUUGGAGACAUGGCAACUGCUGCACGCGCAUGGGACAAAGCCCAACAAGCAUGCAAGGCAUUUAACCUGUAAAUCAGACAUACUAUAACAAAAUAAAUUCAUAGACAAGCAGCAGUACAAAGGCAGAGCAAACUACAUUCUCCAAAAAAAAUAAUUUAAGAUGUCCAAAAAAUCCAUCUAUAACUCACUAAGAAAUUAAUCGUAAAGUUUUUGACUUAAGACAGUUCUCAGCUAUUCAGCAUGACUGCCCAAAAAAAAAAAAAAAUCCUCAACACUAUAAAUAUGUAGUUUAGUCCACACUAGAUACUAGGCCUUGUAUCUAAACACACUCUCAAAAUCAUACCUUGCUAGCCUCAACCCUCUAGAUCUGCAAAGGUGGGAAAAACAAAGUACUGUGUGUGAGAACAUAUUAAAUAACAAAUUAUGUUAGCUAGUUGGGUCAUGUAUGGAUGAAAAAACAAGUAAUUAGAUAUUGACGCCACAAAUUGCAUUAGAAUCACAUUUGCAAACCUUUGAGCAGUUACAGUCCACAUUUUGAAAAUAAUCAAUAAUUUUAAAUAGUUAACAACCCAUAUUUUGUAAAAGGUAUAGAAUAGAUGGAUGGUGAAAAAUCCAUUAUUAUACAAACCACAGAGCUUCAAAAUAAUGCAAUCUUCAAAUCAUGUGAAACCUAAUAGAUGAGUUUUCCAAAAAUACAAUCUUUUAAGUCAUAAUGGGCAUAGCACAACCAAUGAGUUUCCAAAAUUGAAUCUCACAAAACUAAUUAAUGAGCUUUCCAACAAUGCAUUUUCACAAAGUAUCAACUCUCUUUUGGUCUUUGUGACUAUAGCCCCACUUAUCCUUGUGACAGUGUUUUAGAACCACUUUUAACCCUUGUGGUUUAGGUCUAGAACCACAUUUAACCCCUAUAGUGUAGGUGCAGAAUCUUAUUUAACCACUGUGGUGUAGGUCCAGAAUGAAACUAGUCUUAUGAUAAUCAAGUUGCCAGUGAUUAACCCUCGACGGGGUCUAGUUCAUAGUCAGACUAAAAGAGAGUCUAAUACCAAAUAUAAUUUCUAACACCAAAUCAUGAAAUAGACCCAAAAUCAUUUUCAUUUUGUAAUUUGCACGCCAAUGACAUUUCAUUAACUUUUCAAAAGCUUUCCACUUUCCAAUACAUCACAAUGCGUGAAGUAUUAAGUUAACAAAUUUCUUUAGUUUUCAUGCUUGAUCCAAUUUACAUAUGUGCAUGUGAAUUUAUUGAGAACAGUGACUAGAAGCCAUGCUUUUAAUUUUGAAAGAUGUAUUUCAUGUGCAAUAAUCUUGAAUUCCUGUUCAAAAGAUUCUCUCAUGAAAUGAAUUUUGUAAUUUUAGUAAUUAUAGUUUAUUAAUCAUAAACAUUUUUAAUGGAAAAUUCCAUUUUUUUUAAGAGAAAAUUACAUGAAAUUUCUAGUAAAUGUAGAAAGGUACUUGCCUCAAGAGCACAAACUACAAACAAGUCCAAUUACUCGUGUCCUUCCAGAACCUAAUAAUCUACAAUGCAAAACUAUCAAGAUAUUUGUUUGAUAAUAGACAUGAAUGAUUCCUAAAAUCUUCCGAGUUCUUAUUAAUUUUGUUAAGUCUAUUUCUAAGAACCUGGAAGAAUUUUUGAGAUCUAAACAGUGCCUAGGUGCAGGCCCACUAGAUUUCAACUUGCAGUCUCUUAACUGUACAGAAUUUUAUGUUUCAAAUUUCAUGCCACAAAAAGUUGAGUUAAUUUUCAUACGCAGAAAUUAAAUUAGAAAAGUUGAUUCUUAGUAUGCAGAAGUUCAUUCUUCAGAAAUUAGUUAACAUAAAUACAAUAUUUAAAUCAGAAAUUUCAGUUUUCUAGAUAUUAAAGUUCAGAAAAUACAGUAUACAUAAAUCAGAGUUUAUUGUGCAAAAUUUUAUUUGCUGAAUUUAAGUAGUAGAAUAUAGCAUGUAGAAUUUAAUAGUCAGAAAUUUAACUUUGUAAUUUUAUUCUACAGAAUAAAUUACAAAAGUCAGAAUUUAGUUUGCAGAAUUUCAUUCUUCAGAAAUUAAUUAACAUAAAUAUUUAAAUCAGAAAAUUCAGUUUUCUAGAUAUUAAAUUUCAUAAAAUACAGUAUACAUAAAUCAGAAUUUUUUGUGCAAAAAAAAUAUUUGCUGAAUUUAAAUAGUAGAAUAUAGUAUGUAUAAUUUAAUAAUCAGAAAUUUAAUUUCGUAAUUUUAUUCUACAGAAGUUAAUGUGCAGAAUUUAAUGUUUUGCGGAAAUUUGGAUAUAGAAAUGGAAUAUCAUAUCUAAUAAUCAGAAAUUUUGAAGCCUGAACAUGGAUAACCAUAAAAUUAAUUUACAGAAAUUUAAAACAGAUUUUAUUUGCUGAAAAUAAAUUCUGGAGAAAUUAUAUUGCACAGAAGGUAAAUAUUUAAUGCAGAAAAUUUUCCUGAAACAAAUAGAUUAAUAUGGUUUUUACUUUCUAAAAAUAGUAACUUAAUUAUUUGUCUACUGUGAUAUAUUAAGUCUUUCUAGCUCUAGGGUUCCUAGAUCUUCAUCCAAAAUUAUGAUAUUGAAUCAUAAUCAAAUGGGAUUAGGGUUAGUGAUAUCUUAAUCUCCAUGUCUUGUUAAGAAUUGAACCAUUGGCUGAACUUCUCCUUUCCAUGGUAUGAUACCCUCUUGAGAACAAGCACUCUACAGAAAUCAAACAGAGGUAGGGAGUGGUGGUGGGGUUAUCACUCUAGUCUUCCACACUAAGGGUUCCCAAUCUGAAUCUGAUGCAAUGCAAGAUACAACUGGUAGGUGUUAUAAUCAGUUGGACCAUGCCAAACCCUUUAAGAACCAACAGCUUUAUAAUGAGACACUAACAAUUGAAUAUUUGAUUUAUUCUUUUUCCCUAGUGAGCGAGCAUGCCAGCAAACAGGACUCAACGAGUUAGUCAAAAGUCCUGUGGAUUUUCCAUUAGAGUCAGUUUUCUCCAUUUUUUUAUAUUUUCGAGUUGAAUAUUUUACUUCAUUUCCUUUUAUUUUUGGGUUGAGUUUCCUAUUUUUGGUAGGACUUUGUAAGGCUCAUAUAUAUGAGGUGAUCUGUGGUUUAAUUUGAAGCAGACUUGUUUUGACUGAUCAUUAGAAUUUUCAUGAUUUUUUUUUUUAACUUUUACUUUUCUUGUUCCUUUCAGUUCUUCUCUCUCUAUAACAUUUGCAUUAGGGCCUGGUUUAGAACUUUCCUAGGGAAGAGAGGAAGAAACACAAGGGAUGUGUGUGUGUGAGAGAGAGAGAGAGAGAGAGAGAGAGAUAAAGAGUGUUUGGAGAGAUAGAGAAGGAAUAGAGAGAGAUGGGAAGGAAGAGAGGCUUGAGAUAGAGUGAAAGAGAGGUGAGAAAGCGAUAUGUAAGAGGGGACAUGCGAGAGAAAGGAAAGGUUUAUGGUUAGACUGGGCAGAGUUUUGAUUUAGAUUGGAUCGGUCUCAAGAGAUAUAACGAGAGACAUAGAGGGUGAGAGAGAUAUUGCAAGAGAGGAGGGUGUGUGUGUGCACAUCAAGAGGAGAGGCAGAGGGUAGAUGGGGGUUACAUGAUGAGAAGGAUGGGACAUGGCGAGAAAUCUUGAGAGUUCCUUAUCCUAGAUCUCUAAUUCUAGUCGGCUUUGCUUUUUUCUUUUAAAAGAAGUCAGGGUAUUACACAAGCAAUCGUGUAAGAAGUCUUAAGAAAUUGGUUGGCAAACAACAUAGUAAGAUACUGGAAACAACAUUUGCAAACGUCUACCCUACGCAUAUACAAGACCUAGCGGCAUCAUGUUGUAAUACGUCGUCAAAUCUUUAACCCACAAAAUAGCACUCUCAACAAGACAUGUUAUCCAACCAAGGUUCGCAAUCUCAAUAUCAGCCCCUGAACUGCUACCAUGCUAGUACGGUAUCGAUAUGCCCGGUACAAAGAUCAGUUCAGGAUAUUGAGACUUGGUAUGCUCCUCAUACCGAGUCUUGGUUUAAUACUACUAUAGUACGGUAUGCCUGAUGUGGGGCGGUACACACCAGUACGGUGAAUCUUGAUCUCUACCAUAUUAGAUAACCUGUCAACUAUUGUCCUAGCUAUGAGUCAAGGAAUUUGCAGUUCAUAAAUUGUUUCUCGUAAAUGUGCAAACCAAAAAAUAUUUAUAAAAUAUGAAGCUAUUUUUCAUUAGCUAAAUCUUCUUAGUUGUCCAUUUCAUACAAAAUACGUUGCAUAAGCUGCUGAUCUACGUGGCCCUGGUCUUUGUCAAAGUAGAAAUGACGUGUUACCCUUUUGCAUCAAUACUCCUGAAAAACUUGUUCCAAAAAAAAAAAAAAAGACUCUCUGCUUGCAAAUUGAAUGUUGAGAAUUUUUAGGAGUAUUAAUGCAAAAGAGUAAUGGAGCCCUUUUAUGCUUAAAAAUGGUUACUUAUGGACCUCAGCAGCCAGAAAUUUAACGGGAGGGACAAGACCGCAAAAACUGGAUAACAUGAAGAUAUGUAUUACAAAUAAUGCUUUUAUAAGGGUGAAUAUGUAAUAAACCAUAUUAUAGGGGUAUAUAUGCAAAUAUCCCAAAAAGACUUGUAAAUGGGAAAGAGAAAAGGGCUUCCUUUUGAAUAACCACUAUUACAAAUAUCCUAUGAUUUUUUCCUUCUUGGAGAAAUAUAAAGGGAUUCCACCUUCUAUGUUUGAACUUGGAACCACUUCCUGGUGAAUUGUGUUGAGGGGAAGGGUACCAACCAGCGGACCCAAGUCCAUGAAUUUUCUAUGCUAAUUGAUAAGUACAUUAUGAUAGACUGAUCAGUGAACUCCUACCUGAGUUUAGAAUUCAAACUUGUGAAUCCAAUGAAGCAUAUGGAAAUGAGAAAGCUAGAUAUGUUGAGGCCAC
rnacentral:lncRNA from 1 species